rnacentral:rRNA from 1 species
UACGAUUUGAUGCAAGGUUAAGCAGUAAAUGUGGAGCCGUAGCGAAAGCGAGUCUGAAUAGGGCGUUUAGUAUUUGGUCGUAGACCCGAAACCAGGUGAUCUACCCUUGGUCAGGUUGAAGUUCAGGUAACACUGAAUGGAGGACCGAACCGACUUACGUUGAAAAGUGAGCGGAUGAACUGAGGGUAGCGGAGAAAUUCCAAUCGAACCUGGAGAUAGCUGGUUCUCUCCGAAAUAGCUUUAGGGCUAGCCUCAAGUGAUGAUUAUUGGAGGUAGAGCACUGUUUGGACGAGGGGCCCCUCUCGGGUUACCGAAUUCAGACAAACUCCGAAUGCCAAUUAAUUUAACUUGGGAGUCAGAACAUGGGUGAUAAGGUCCGUGUUCGAAAGGGAAACAGCCCAGACCACCAGCUAAGGUCCCAAAAUAUAUGUUAAGUGGAAAAGGAUGUGGCGUUGCCCAGACAACUAGGAUGUUGGCUUAGAAGCAGCCAUCAUUUAAAGAGUGCGUAAUAGCUCACUAGUCGAGUGACACUGCGCCGAAAAUGUACCGGGGCUAAACAUAUUACCGAAGCUGUGGAUUGUCCUUUGGACAAUGGUAGGAGAGCGUUCUAAGGGCGUUGAAGCAUGAUCGUAAGGACAUGUGGAGCGCUUAGAAGUGAGAAUGCCGGUGUGAGUAGCGAAAGACGGGUGAGAAUCCCGUCCACCGAUUGACUAAGGUUUCCAGAGGAAGGCUCGUCCGCUCUGGGUUAG